rnacentral:rRNA from 1 species
ACACGACUACAUUAGAUACCCGGGUAGUCCUAGGCGUAAAUGAUGCGAGUUAAGUGUGGGGGCAUCUACGAGAUGGCCCUGUGCUGUAGGGUAGCCGUUACACUCGCUGCCUGGGGAGUACGGUCGCAAGGCUGAAACUUAAAGGAAUUGGCGGGGAGCACCACAAGAGGUGGAGGCUGCGGUUCAAUUGGACUCAACGCCGGAAACUCAUCGGGAGCGACAGCAGUAUGAUUGCCAGGUUGAUGACCUUGCUUGACAAGCUG